GAUGAACGCUAGCUACAGGCUUAACACAUGCAAGUCGAGGGGCAUCAGGAAGAAAGCUUGCUUUCUUUGCCGGCGACCGGCGCACGGGUGAGUAACACGUAUCCAACCUGCCCUUUACUCGGGGAUAGCCUUUCGAAAGAAAGAUUAAUACCCGAUGGCAUAAUGAUUCCGCAUGGUUUCAUUAUUAAAGGAUUCCGGUAAAGGAUGGGGAUGCGUUCCAUUAGGUUGUUGGUGAGGUAACGGCCCACCAAGCCUUCGAUGGAUAGGGGUUCUGAGAGGAAGGUCCCCCACAUUGGAACUGAGACACGGUCCAAACUCCUACGGGAGGCAGCAGUGAGGAAUAUUGGUCAAUGGGCGCUAGCCUGAACCAGCCAAGUAGCGUGAAGGAUGAAGGCUCUAUGGGUCGUAAACUUCUUUUAUAUAAGAAUAAAGUGCAGUAUGUAUACUGUUUUGUAUGUAUUAUAUGAAUAAGGAUCGGCUAACUCCGUGCCAGCAGCCGCGGUAAUACGGAGGAUCCGAGCGUUAUCCGGAUUUAUUGGGUUUAAAGGGAGCGUAGGUGGACUGGUAAGUCAGUUGUGAAAGUUUGCGGCUCAACCGUAAAAUUGCAGUUGAUACUGUCAGUCUUGAGUACAGUAGAGGUGGGCGGAAUUCGUGGUGUAGCGGUGAAAUGCUUAGAUAUCACGAAGAACUCCGAUUGCGAAGGCAGCUCACUGGACUGCAACUGACACUGAUGCUCGAAAGUGUGGGUAUCAAACAGGAUUAGAUACCCUGGUAGUCCACACAGUAAACGAUGAAUACUCGCUGUUUGCGAUAUACAGUAAGCGGCCAAGCGAAAGCAUUAAGUAUUCCACCUGGGGAGUACGCCGGCAACGGUGAAACUCAAAGGAAUUGACGGGGGCCCGCACAAGCGGAGGAACAUGUGGUUUAAUUCGAUGAUACGCGAGGAACCUUACCCGGGCUUAAAUUGCAGUGGAAUGAUGUGGAAACAUGUCAGUGAGCAAUCACCGCUGUGAAGGUGCUGCAUGGUUGUCGUCAGCUCGUGCCGUGAGGUGUCGGCUUAAGUGCCAUAACGAGCGCAACCCUUAUCUUUAGUUACUAACAGGUUAUGCUGAGGACUCUAGAGAGACUGCCGUCGUAAGAUGUGAGGAAGGUGGGGAUGACGUCAAAUCAGCACGGCCCUUACGUCCGGGGCUACACACGUGUUACAAUGGGGGGUACAGAAGGCAGCUAGCGGGUGACCGUAUGCUAAUCCCAAAAGCCUCUCUCAGUUCGGAUCGAAGUCUGCAACCCGACUUCGUGAAGCUGGAUUCGCUAGUAAUCGCGCAUCAGCCACGGCGCGGUGAAUACGUUCCCGGGCCU
rnacentral:rRNA from 1 species